GGGGGAAUCAGCAAUUACUCAGGCCAGUUCAGUCUUUUUGAAUAUUAGAGACUUUUCAGACGCUGAACUAGAAAGACGGUGUUUUCUGCGUUCGGUAAUUUUACUACAUCCGGGUUCCUCAUUGUCAUAUUGCUUCCUGGCGAGAUGGACGAAUCUGAAAUUUCGAGCGUGGUUUCGAGCGGGUCGAGUCCUGACCGAAAAAGCUUCACAUGUCAACGCUGGCUUCGAAGGGGAUUUAGACUUGGAAACCGGCUUGCCUGCAGAAGAGAAAACGGCGGGGAGUAGGAGAGAUUACAGUUUGUUUUCCAUGUUACCGAAAUCGAGACAAAUCCGAGAAGUUAUCAACGAUCGACUGCCUGUGAGUUUGGUUCUCUGCAUUUUCUCUUUCUUUUCUUCUUUUUGCUUCUCU